rnacentral:rRNA from 1 species
GUGGGGAAUAUUGGACAAUGGGCGCAAGCCUGAUCCAGCCAUGCCGCGUGUGUGAAGAAGGCCUUCGGGUUGUAAAGCACUUUCAGCGAGGAGGAAGGGUGUUGUGUUAAUAGCACAGCAUUUUGACGUUACUCGCAGAAGAAGCACCGGCUAACUCCGUGCCAGCAGCCGCGGUAAUACGGAGGGUGCAAGCGUUAAUCGGAAUUACUGGGCGUAAAGCGCACGUAGGCGGUGUGUUAAGUUGGAUGUGAAAGCCCCGGGCUCAACCUGGGAAUUGCAUUCAAAACUGGCACGCUAGAGUAUGUGAGAGGGGGGUAGAAUUCCAAGUGUAGCGGUGAAAUGCGUAGAGAUUUGGAGGAAUACCAGUGGCGAAGGCGGCCCCCUGGCACAAUACUGACGCUCAGGUGCGAAAGCGUGGGGAGCAAACAGGAUUAGAUACCCUUGUAGUCC